CCCGUAGGCGAAAAUUCAAAUAUAGAACUAAGAUCGAGAGUCGAACCGCUUGGAACGGCGGGCCAUAGAGGGUGACAGCCCCCGUAGUCGAAUCGAGAGGGAGCCUAGCUGAUACCUGAGUACCGCAGGACACGUGCAAUCCGGCGGGAAUCUGGCGGGACCAUCCGCCAAGCCUGAAUACUACCCAUCGACCGAUAGUGAACAAGUACCGUGAGGGAAAGGUGAAAAGCACCCCCGGAAGGGGAGUGAAAUAGAACCUGAAACCGCGAUUGCCUACAAGCACUGGGAGCACGACGUCGCAAGACCGUGUGACCGGGUACCUUUUGCAUAAUGGGCCUGCGAGUUGCGUUUCGUGGCGAGGUUAAGCCGAUGAGGUGGAGCCGAAGCGAAAGCGAGUUCGAAUAGAGCGAAAGUCGCGGGACGCAGACCCAAAGCCCGACGAUCUAUCCAUGGCCAG
rnacentral:rRNA from 1 species